GACUAGACGUUGCUUUUUCCGUUUUGCUUCUGCCUUAAAAAUAUUCAGCUUUAUAACAACAUUCAACUCGUGCAACUCCGACAAUACAGGCAACUCCGCUGCCUUCCACCGGCCUCUUUUUCCUUACAGAUGACACCUUCAUCCGGCCGGUCAGUUUCAUAGAUGAGAACCCAAUCAGUGCCAAACCCAAAACUCCAUCUAGCUAUUGAUCAAUUGGAAUCUUGAGCCGAUCAUCGCAAUUGUCGUUGACGGGGAGCUGAUCAGUCAACUAGAGGGGACUUGGUUUUUGGGUGGAGAUGAGCGGCAAUGGGUGCAGGGUGCUGCAGAAGGGGUCCACCGAUAGCUGCGUGCUGAGGACAUGCCUCUAGUGGAUCCCGGCUCUGGAGGGCCAGUAUGAUGCCACCCUCUUCCUAUCCGAAGGGCCAAUAUGAUGGCCCUAGUGGAUCCUGACUCCAGAGUGUCUUUACAACACUCAAUUUCGUUGAGCGGCUUAAGAAUUAUGGUGUAGUUUUUCUGAUUUUGUCACAAAUCUGAAUUUCAAUCUCA